UGGGGAAUUUUGGACAAUGGGCGAAAGCCUGAUCCAGCAAUGCCGCGUGUGUGAAGAAGGCCUUCGGGUUGUAAAGCACUUUUGUCCGGAAAGAAAUCCUUGGCUCUAAUACAGUCGGGGGAUGACGGUACCGGAAGAAUAAGCACCGGCUAACUACGUGCCAGCAGCCGCGGUAAUACGUAGGGUGCAAGCGUUAAUCGGAAUUACUGGGCGUAAAGCGUGCGCAGGCGGUUUGCUAAGACCGAUGUGAAAUCCCGGGCUCAACCUGGGAACUGCAUUGGUGACUGGCAGGCUAGAGUAUGGCAGAGGGGGGUAGAAUUCCACGUGUAGCAGUGAAAUGCGUAGAGAUGUGGAGGAAUACCGAUGGCGAAGGCAGCCCCCUGGGCCAAUACUGACGCUCAUGCACGAAAGCGUGGGGAGCAAACAGGAUUAGAUACCCUGGUAGUCCACGCCCUAAACGAUGUCAACUAGUUGUUGGGGAUUCAUUUCCUUAGUAACGUAGCUAACGCGUGAAGUUGACCGCCUGGGGAGUACGGUCGCAAGAUUAAAACUUAAAUGAAUUGACGGGGUCAUAGCUG
rnacentral:rRNA from 1 species